GACGAACGCUGGCGGCGUGCUUAACACAUGCAAGUCGAACGGAAAGGCCCUGCUUUUGUGGGGUGCUCGAGUGGCGAACGGGUGAGUAACACGUGAGUAACCUGCCCUUGACUUUGGGAUAACUUCAGGAAACUGGGGCUAAUACCGGAUAGGAGCUCCUGCUGCAUGGUGGGGGUUGGAAAGUUUCGGCGGUUGGGGAUGGACUCGCGGCUUAUCAGCUUGUUGGUGGGGUAGUGGCUUACCAAGGCUUUGACGGGUAGCCGGCCUGAGAGGGUGACCGGCCACAUUGGGACUGAGAUACGGCCCAGACGCCUACGGGAGGCAGCAGUGGGGAAUAUUGCACAAUGGGCGGAAGCCUGAUGCAGCAACGCCGCGUGCGGGAUGACGGCUUUCGGGUUGUAAACCGAUUUCGCCUGUGACGAAGCGUGAGUGACGGUAAUGGGUAAAGAAGCACCGGCUAACUACGUG
rnacentral:rRNA from 1 species